rnacentral:rRNA from 1 species
GUUUGAUUCUGACUCAGAUUGAACGCUAGCGGCAUGCCUUACACAUGCAAGUUGAACGGCUCCACGGGGGCAACCCUGGUGGCGAGUGGCGAACGGGUGAGUAAUGCAUCGGAACGUGCCCAUUGAUGGGGGAUAACUGCGCGAAAGCGUUGCUAAUACCGCAUACGACCUACGGGUGAAAGCAGGGGACCGCAAGGCCUUGCGUCGAUGGAGCGGCCGAUGUCGGAUUAGCUUGUUGGUGAGGUAAAGGCUCACCAAGGCGACGAUCCGUAGCUGGUCUGAGAGGACGACCAGCCACACUGGGACUGAGACACGGCCCAGACUCCUACGGGAGGCAGCAGUGGGGAAUCUUGGACAAUGGGCGAAAGCCUGAUCCAGCAAUGCCGCGUGUGGGAAGAAGGCCUUCGGGCUGUAAACCACUUUUGGCAGGAAAGAAAUCGUUUGCGAUAAUACCGCGAAUGGAUGACGGUACCUGCAGAAUAAGCACCGGCUAACUACGUGCCAGCAGCCGCGGUAAUACGUAGGGUGCGAGCGUUAAUCGGAAUUACUGGGCGUAAAGCGUGCGCAGGCGGUUGGAAAAGAUAGAUGUGAAAUCCCUGGGCUCAACCUAGGAAUUGCAUUUAUGACUAUCCGACUAGAGUACGGUAGAGGGGAGUGGAAUUCCGCGUGUAGCAGUGAAAUGCGUAGAUAUGCGGAGGAACACCGAUGGCGAAGGCAGCUCCCUGGACCUGUACUGAC